rnacentral:rRNA from 1 species
GCCCUUAGAGUUUGAUCCUGGCUCAGGACGAACGCUGGCGGCGCGCCUAACACAUGCAAGUCGAACGGAGCUUAGAGAGCUUGCUUUUUAAGCUUAGUGGCGAACGGGUGAGUAACGCGUGAGUAACCUGCCCUAGAGUGGGGGACAACAGUUGGAAACGACUGCUAAUACCGCAUAAGCCCACGGUACCGCAUGGUACUGAGGGAAAAGGAUUUAUUCGCUUUAGGAUGGACUCGCGUCCAAUUAGCUAGUUGGUGAGGUAACGGCCCACCAAGGCGACGAUUGGUAGCCGGACUGAGAGGUUGAACGGCCACAUUGGGACUGAGACACGGCCCAGACUCCUACGGGAGGCAGCAGUGGGGGAUAUUGCACAAUGGGGGAAACCCUGAUGCAGCGACGCCGCGUGGAGGAAGAAGGUUUUCGGAUUGUAAACUCCUGUCGUUAGGGACGAUAAUGACGAUACCUAACAAGAAAGCACCGGCUACUCUG